GCCCAUUCCCUGACGUUUCAGGACCGCGAAAGCUAGGGGAGAGAACGGGGAUUAGAAACCCCGGUAUUUCCUAGCCCGUAAACGAUGUCCAACUAGGCGUAGGGGGUAACCAUUCCUUCUGUGCUGCAGCAAACGCGAUAAGUUGACCGCCUGGGGACUACGGCCGCAAGGCUAAAACUCAAAGGAAUUGACGGGGCCCCGCACAAGCAGCGGAGCGUGUGGUUUAAUUCGAGGCUACGCGAAGAACCUUACCAGGGCUUGACAUGCAGGUGGUAGUGAAUCGAAAGAGGAACGACCCUUCGGGGAGCCUGCACAGGUGCUGCAUGGCUGUCGUCAGCUCGUGCCGUGAGGUGUUCGGUUAAGUCCGAUAACGAGCGCAACCCUCGUCGUUAGUUACAUGUGUCUAGCGAGACUGCCGGUGAUAAGCCGGAGGAAGGUGGGGAUGACGUCAAGUCAGGCAUGGCCUUUAUGGCCCUGGGCU
rnacentral:rRNA from 1 species